AGUGAACGCUGGCGGUAGGCCUAACACAUGCAAGUCGAACGGCAGCACAGGAGAGCUUGCUCUCUGGGUGGCGAGUGGCGGACGGGUGAGGAAUACAUCGGAAUCUACUUUUUCGUGGGGGAUAACGUAGGGAAACUUACGCUAAUACCGCAUACGACCUACGGGUGAAAGCAGGGGAUCUUCGGACCUUGCGCGAUUGAAUGAGCCGAUGUCGGAUUAGCUAGUUGGCGGGGUAAAGGCCCACCAAGGCGACGAUCCGUAGCUGGUCUGAGGGGAUGAUAAGCCACACUGGAACUGAGAAACGGUCCAGACUCCUACGGGAGGCAGCAGUGGGGAAUAUUGGACAAUGGGCGCAAGCCUGAUCCAGCCAUACCGCGUGGGUGAAGAAGGCCUUCGGGUUGUAAAGCCCUUUUGUUGGGAAAGAAAUCCAGCUGGUUAAUACCCGGUUGGGAUGACGGUACCCAAAGAAUAAGCACCGGCUAACUUCGUGCCAGCAGCCGCCGUAA
rnacentral:rRNA from 1 species